UACGUAGGGUGCGAGCGUUAAUCGGAAUCACUGGGCAUAAAGCGCACGUAGGCGGUCUGUUAAGUCAGGUGUGAAAGCCCCCGGCUCAACCGGGGAACAGCAUCUGAUACUGGCAGACUCGAGGAUGGUAGGGGUGAGUGGAACUCCAGGUGGAGCGGUGAAAUGCGUAGAUAUCCGGAGGAACACCGGUGGCGAAGGCGGCUUCCUGGACCGACACUGACGCUGAGGCGCGAAAGCUAGGGGAGCAAACGGG
rnacentral:rRNA from 1 species